ensembl:lncRNA
GGGAUGAAGGGCAGUGUACUGUGUGGAGGAGGGGAUGAAGGGCAGUGUAGUCUGUGGAGGAGGGGAUGAGGGGCUGUGUAGUCUGUGGAGGAGGGGAUGAGGGGCAGUGUAGUGGGGGGAGGAGGAGAUGAGGGGCAGUGUAGUGUGUGGAGGAGAAGAUGAGGGGCAGUGUAGUGUGUGGAGGAGGGGAUGAGGGGCAGUGUGGUCUGUGGAGGAGGGGAUGAAGGGCAGUGUAGUGUGUGGAGGAGGGGAUGAGGGGCAGUGUGGUUUGUGGAGAAGGGGAUGAGGGGCAGUGUGGUCUGUGGAGGAGGGGAUGAGAGGCAGUGUAGUCUGUGGAGGAGAAGAUGAGGGGCAGUGUAGUGUGUGGAGGAGGGGAUGAGGGGCAGUGUGGUCUGUGGAGGAGGGAUGAAG